GGAUGUGAGGGCGAUCUGGCUGCGACAUCUGUCACCCCAUUGAUCGCCAGGGUUGAUUCGGCUGAUCUGGCUGGCUAGGCGGGUGUCCCCUUCCUCCCUCACCGCUCCAUGUGCGUCCCUCCCGAAGCUGCGCGCUCGGUCGAAGAGGACGACCUUCCCCGAUAGAGGAGGACCGUUCUUCGGUCAAGGGUAUACGAGUAGCUGUGCUCCCCUGCUAGAACCUCCAAACAAGCUCUCAAGGUCCAUUUGUAGGAGAACUUAGGGUAGUCAAGCUUCCAAGACUCCAGACACAUCCAAAUGAGGCGCUGCAUGUGGCAGUCUGCCUUUCUUU
rnacentral:snRNA from 1 species